UAUAUAGUCUAGACAGAUUACGUUUACUUGAGUGAAAGUGCAAUGAGUUAAGUGUGCAUCGGUGAUUAUUAAAUUUAUGGUAUUGAAGUUUAUUAAUGAUGGAAAGAGCUAAUGCUUCGAUAGUGAGCCAAAACCUUGAAUCAAUUGCUAAACAAAGACAUACUCUUACAAAUUUAAAAUAAAAAAUUAAAUGCGCAAUA